rnacentral:rRNA from 1 species
UUCCUACGGGACGCAGCAGUGGGGAAUAUUGCACAAUGGGGGAACCCUGAUGCAGCGACGCCGCGUGGGUGAAGGAGUGCUUCGGCAUGUAAAGCCCUAUCGGCAGGGAAGAAGCAAGACGGUACCUGACUAAGAAGCCCCGGCUAACUACGUGCCAGCAGCCGCGGUAAUACGUAGGGGGCAAGCGUUAUCCGGAUUUACUGGGUGUAAAGGGAGCGUAGACGGCGAUGCAAGCCAGAUGUGAAAGCCCGGGGCUCAACCCCGGGACUGCAUUUGGAACUGUGUGGCUGGAGUGUCGGAGAGGG